rnacentral:rRNA from 1 species
AGAGUUUGAUCCUGGCUCAGAUUGAACGUUGGCGGCAUGCUUUACACAUGCAAGUCGAACGGUAACAGGCCGCAAGGUGCUGACGAGUGGCGAACGGGUGAGUAAUGUAUCGGAACGUGCCCAGUCGUGGGGGAUAACGCAGCGAAAGCUGCGCUAAUACCGCAUACGAUCUAUGGAUGAAAGCGGGGGACCGUAAGGCCUCGCGCGAUUGGAGCGGCCGAUAUCAGAUUAGGUAGUUGGUGGGGUAAAGGCUCACCAAGCCAACGAUCUGUAGCUGGUCUGAGAGGACGACCAGCCACACUGGGACUGAGACACGGCCCAGACUCCUACGGGAGGCAGCAGUGGGGAAUUUUGGACAAUGGGCGCAAGCCUGAUCCAGCAAUGCCGCGUGCAGGAAGAAGGCCUUCGGGUUGUAAACUGCUUUUGUACGGAACGAAACGGUCCUGGUUAAUACCUGGGGCUAAUGACGGUACCGUAAGAAUA